GACGAACGCUGGCGGCGUGCUUAACACAUGCAAGUCGAACGGAAAGACCCUGCUUUUGUGGGGUGCUCGAGUGGCGAACGGGUGAGUAACACGUGAGUAACCUGCCCUUGACUUUGGGAUAACUUCAGGAAACUGGGGCUAAUACCGGAUAGGAGCUCCUGCUGCAUGGUGGGGGUUGGAAAGUUUCGGCGGUUGGGGAUGGACUCGCGGCUUAUCAGCUUGUUGGAGGGGUAGUGGCUUACCAAGGCUUUGACGGGUAGCCGGCCUGAGAGGGUGACCGGCCACAUUGGGACUGAGAUACGGCCCAGACUCCUACGGGAGGCAGCAGUGGGGAAUAUUGCACAAUGGGCGGAAGCCUGAUGCAGCAACGCCGCGUGCGGGAUGACGGCCUUCGGGUUGUAAACCGCUUUCGCCUGUGACGAAGCGUGAGUGACGGUAAUGGGUAAAGAAGCACCGGCUAACUACGUG
rnacentral:rRNA from 1 species